ACUGUUAAAGGAUAUCACACAUACACAGAUGAGAAAGAAGGAAAGGAACACUGGAUUCCGGUUUUGCAUAAACAAGUCCUGAAGAACUCUGGAAGCCUGUCUGCUUAUUGUUAAGAUUCACUGGAGAGGCAAGGAAAAGCACGUACAGCUAAUGGGGCCAUCUCCCGGGGUCAUCCAGCAGCUGUUCCUGUUGAAUAUUCAAACACACCCAUCCACACCCACCUCCACCCAUGCAGAAAAGGAUUGAAAGGAUCACCAGACAAGAAACAAGAAAGCAAGACUGCUGACAUUUAAAAAUGAAAUUUGCUUUUGGUAAUAAGGGGAUUUCUUC
rnacentral:lncRNA from 1 species